CAUUGUUUGAGGAAAGGUAGUUUUAUGUGUAGUUUAUGGUGUGUUGGGGGUUCGUGUUUUAAAAAUGGAAGAAAUGGUGAGUUGAAGAAAAAAAGGAAAAAAUGAAUGGCAAGAAGAAAAGGAAAAAAACGUUGUUAAUGAUCCACGUUACUCUUUGGGGGUGAUCACUAGUAUGUGUAGCGGUAAAUUCAUGAUUAUCAAGUUAUGGAUAAGCAAGACAUCAAAUAACAAGAGUCGCCACCGCGCUUUUAUUGUUUCCAAGGGAAAAGGGAAAAAGUACGAACAAAACCCAAAAGUAAGAAGUUUUCAAAUUAAAACUAAUAAAAUGCCAGAGAUUACAGGUAAGGGGGUUGGUUACACAUAGGGAAGGUGUUAGGAUCCAAAGUGUCUUAGGUACUCCUAGGGAGCCCUUUUUUGUGUGCAUAUGUAUUUUGUACAAAAUGAUGUUUACAAACAAA
rnacentral:lncRNA from 1 species